UACGUAGGGGGCAAGCGUUGUCCGGAAUCAUUGGGCGUAAAGCGCGUGUAGGCGGCUCGAUAAGUCUGACUGUGAAAGUCCAGGGCUCAACCCUGGGAUGCCGGUGGAUACUGUCGAGCUCGAGUCCGGAAGAGGCGAGUGGAAUUCCUGGUGUAGCGGUGAAAUGCGCAGAUAUCAGGAGGAAUACCGGUGGCGAAGGCGGCAUCCUGGACCGACAUUGACGCUGAGGAGCGAAAGCUAGGGGAGCAAACGGG
rnacentral:rRNA from 1 species